GCCGGGCAGGGUGGCUCAUGCCUGUAAUCCCAGCACUUCGGGAGGCUGAGGCGGGUGGAUCACCUGAGGUCAGGAGUUCAAGACCAGCCUGACCAACAUGGAGAAACCCCGUCUCUA
rnacentral:SRP_RNA from 1 species